CCGAAACCUGAGUUGGCGCUUUAUAGAGAAGAGAGAAGACAAGGUUCUCACUCCAAGGCUCAUCCAGUCAAAUGAAAGUGGCAGAAAUAAAUACAUUCUAGAAAACUAGAAAAUAAUGUAGUUCUAAAUGUGAAUAAAUUCAGUCAGGUUUACUGGAGGGGAGGGGGAAAGACACAGAUAUGUUUCUCAGGCAAGUAUGGCUUUCUACCCUUGAACAUUCAACCAGCAUUUUGUUUAAUAGUCUCACUGAGUUUGAGAUCUGAAGACUGGAAAAG
rnacentral:lncRNA from 1 species